GACGUAGGGAGCGAGCGUUGUCCGGAUUCAUUGGGCGUAAAGCGCGCGUAGGCGGUUUGGCAAGUCGGAUGUGAAAUCCCGAGGCUCAACCUCGUGACUGCAUCCGAUACUGCCCGACUAGAGGUAGGUAGGGGAGAUCGGAAUUCCUGGUGUAGCGGUGAAAUGCGUAGAUAUCGGGAGGAACACCAGUGGCGAAGGCGACUUCCUGGCCUGUUCUUGACGCUGAGGCGCGAAAGCUAGGGUAGCAAACGGG
rnacentral:rRNA from 1 species